rnacentral:rRNA from 1 species
UGGGGAAUUUUGGACAAUGGGCGAAAGCCUGAUCCAGCAAUGCCGCGUGUGUGAAGAAGGCCUUCGGGUUGUAAAGCACUUUUGUCCGGAAAGAAAUGGCUCUGGUUAAUACCUGGGGUCGAUUACGGUACCGGAAGAAUAAUGACCGUCUAACUACGUGCCAGCAGCCGCUGUAAUACGUAGGGUCCAAGCGUUACUCGGAAUUACUGGGCGUAAAGCGUGCGCAGGCGGUUGUGCAAGAACGAUGUGAAAUCCCCGAGCUUAACUUGGGAAUUGCAGUGACGACGGAACGGCUAGAGUGUGUCAGAGGGGGGUAGAAUUCCACGUGUAGCAGAGAAAUGCGUAGAGAUGUGGAGGAAUACCGAUGGCGAAGGCAGCCCCCUGGGAUAACACUGACGAUCAGGAACGAAAGCGUGGGGAGCAAACAGG